UACAUCAUUUGCCGAUGAGGUGCGCGCUGCGCUUAAUAGAGAAGCAGGUGAGAGACCUGCGCUGUCCCGCAGCUGUAAUGCAGAGCCCCUCCCUAAUAUGUCACUGGGCAACCGGGAAGGCAGGGAGGGGCGAUGAUGCAGAGCCAGAAGAACUGCCUGAUCGGAACGCCGCAU
rnacentral:ncRNA from 2 species